CACGUAGGGCGCAAGCGUUGUCCGGCAUUAUUGGGCGUAAAGAGCUCGUAGGCGGUCUGUUGCGUCCGCUGUGAAAACUCGGGGCUUAACCCCGAGCCUGCAGUGGAUACGGGCAGACUAGAGGUAGGUAGGGGAGAAUGGAAUUCCCGGUGUAGCGGUGAAAUGCGCAGAUAUCGGGAGGAACACCGGUGGCGAAGGCGGUUCUCUGGGCCUUACCUGACGCUGAGGAGCGAAAGCGUGGGGAGCGAACAGG
rnacentral:rRNA from 1 species